GACGAACCGAGCGAACGUUGUUCGGAAUCACUGGGCUUAAAGGGCGCGUAGGCGGGUUCUCAAGUCCGGGGUGAAAUCCCACAGCUCAACUGUGGAACUGCCUCGGAUACUGGGGGCCUCGAGGGUGGUAGGGGUAUGCGGAACUAUCGGUGGAGCGGUGAAAUGCGUUGAUAUCGAUAGGAACUCCGGUGGCGAAGGCGGCAUACUGGACCACAUCUGACGCUGAGGCGCGAAAGCCAGGGGAGCAAACAGG
rnacentral:rRNA from 1 species